CUUGGAGGCAUGAGGUUAUGGAGGCUGGGAAGUCCAGGAUUGAAGGGGUGCAUCUGGUGAGAGCCUUCUUGCUGGGGGGGAUUGUCUGCAGCGUCCCAACGUGGCACAGGACGUCACACGCCCCUUUCUGCCUAAAAAGCCAACUUCCUGUGCUCAACUCACCGGAGUGCCUUUCUGUUUCAUCGAUGGGAUGCUGCCUCAUUCAGGAAUGCUACAGGUCAGGCACGGACCCGGCGUCCCUCUGCACCUGUCUUUCAAACCCUGGCCACACUGACUGAUCGAUCUAAUUACCGGUUAUGCCAACACCUAGAUCACGCAAAGGAAUCUGAAUCCAUUCUUGUUUCUGCCAAUGUGAGUGCCUGGUGGAACCAGUCUGGAAUAUGGAUGUGUGACAGGUGGCAUCCACAACUAGAGAAGAAACAGCAUGCUGCUUCUCCUGUUGGUGAGUCAACUGGACACAGAAGAACCUCUGGAAGCUCAAGAACUAUCUUUUGCUCAGCCUGGCAGGGACACAUGGACACUGGGGAUGUGGAAGUGCCAGUGAGGAAGAAGAGGCACGGCAAACUCCAGACCGGGAGGUGACAGGUUCCAACCUGACCCUAUCUGUAAAUUACACUGGUCUUCUUAUUGUGUGUGGCAAUGAAAUAUACAAGUGGUUCCCACCUAGGUGGUCCGGACACUGUGGACUUAGUUUCUGACACCCUCUGUUACUAGGUACUCUACUGUAAACGCCAGCCAAACUACAUGCGUGGGCUCUUUUGUUCAUAAAGUGGUACCAAGCAAAUGUACUAGAUGUGGUAUUAUAAAAAACCGUCUUAUAUAUCACAAUUCUAAGUUUUAUUUUCAUUUUUAUUUUUUUAAGGGGUGGGGGGUU